GUGAGUCAUCGAAUCUUUGAACGCACAUUGCGCCCGCCAGUAUUCUGGCGGGCAUGCCUGUCUGAGCGUCAUUUCAACCCUCAUGCCCCUAGGGCGUGGUGUUGGGGAUCGGCCAAAGCCCGCGAGGGACGGCCGGCCCCUAAAUCUAGUGGCGGACCCGUCGUGGCCUCCUCUGCGAAGUAGUAAUAUUCCGCAUCGGACAGCGACGAGCCCCUGCCGUUAAACCCCCAACUUUCCAAGGUUGACCUCAGAUCAGGUAGGAAUACCCGCUGAACUUAAGCAUAUCAAUAAGCGGAGGA
rnacentral:misc_RNA from 1 species